UACGAAGGGGGCUAGCGUUGUUCGGAAUUACUGGGCGUAAAGCGCACGUAGGCGGACAUUUAAGUCAGGGGUGAAAUCCCGGGGCUCAACCCCGGAACUGCCUUUGAUACUGGGUGUCUUGAGUGUGGUAGAGGUGAGUGGAGUUGCGAGUGUAGAGGUGAAAUUCGUAGAUAUUCGCAGGAACACCAGUGGCGAAGGCGGCUCACUGGACCACAACUGACGCUGAGGUGCGAAAGCGUGGGGAGCAAACAGG
rnacentral:rRNA from 1 species